rnacentral:rRNA from 1 species
AUUGAACGCUGGCGGCAGGCCUAACACAUGCAAGUCGAGCGAGCGGCGGACGGGUGAGUAAUGUCUGGGAAACUGCCUGAUGGAGGGGGAUAACUACUGGAAACGGUAGCUAAUACCGCAUACCAUCAGAUGUGCCCAGAUGGGAUUAGCUAGUAGGUGGGGUAACGGCUCACCUAGGCGACGAUCCCUAGCUGGUCUGAGAGGAUGACCAGCCACACUGGAACUGAGACACGGCCCAGACUCCUACGGGAGGCAGCAGUGGGGAAUAUUGCACAAUGGGCGAAAGCCUGAUACAGCCAUGCCGCGUGUAUGAAGAAGGCCUUCGGGUUGUAAAGUACUUUUAGCGGGGAGGCGGUACCCGCAGAAUAAGCACCGGCUAACUCCGUGCCAGCCGCCGCGGUAAUUC